UUCUUGGGGAGAGGAGGUGAGGCCUGGGCGGGGCAAGUGCAAGGCCUGAGGCCAGCAGGCAGGGUGCCAGGGCUGGCCAGGGAGCAGCUGGGGGGUGGAUCAUAGGAGGAUUAGAAAGGAUUGUAGGGGUUAAAGCACAGGCCUGGCAGUGCUCAGCGGGAACAGCUUGUCCUUCCAUAGGCCCGGGAACAGAAGAGGUGGGGCGGAGGAGGGGGGCAGCCUGGGUUGCUGCUCUCUGGCUCUAGAUUGCAGGGCUGAGCCACCUGGGCUGGUUUGCAGUCCUCACUGGGAGAGUUAUCUGCUCACACACGGUGGAGCGUGUGAAGCUCCAAGUGAAGGUUGUCCGUUACUGUUUUAGAGGCUUGAGAUGCCUCCACCCUCACUGCUGCUUUGAGCCUUGUGGCAUUCCUAUGAGAGGUCACGGACAGCCUGGCUUAUCCUCAGGUGACCUCUUCCUUCUCUACCGCUGAGGACACAAACAUUCAAGUCUGCCUCCUAUCGUAAGCAGGGCAGAUUUGACGGCACUAUCAGAACAUCUGGAGCGUGUGAUCCAGAGGCCUGGUGAGCUGCUAAGUGAUCCCGACGCAGGCUACCUGCAGACUCCAUGGAGAAGCAAAGCACGCAUAUACAAGAAGAACUCCUUUUUUCUCCACAAAGGAAGAGCCAGCAGAGGCUCCCUCCACCCAUGGGAGCAUUGCCCCUCACCCUCACCCCCGUGAACAACACUGGGCAUGUCCCAGUGCACCUUGCUCCAUCCCAUGUCUGUAGCCAACCCUAACGGUUAGGGUACAAAUGUUCUGGGAGACACAGUGUUAGAUCUACCAUGACACUUCCCAGAUGUCCCAGCCAGGCCGAAACACUUUAAGGAGCAUUACCAAAGUUGUUCCAAGACCUUUCAUCAUGACACACUAUAGCUUAUGACCCAACUAUGGCCCCAGGUCCUGAAUGCUUCCCCUGAGUGUCUGAACAAACUCUCUAAAGCACCAUUUCUUCUUGUGGCAUGGCUCUCAUUUACGUUCUAUGAGGAGGGGUACAAAAGGAAACAGAGAACACGGCACCCAACCCUCUUGUCCACACGCUUGCCUACUUCUAUG